rnacentral:piRNA from 1 species
UAUCAAACAGGUGUAUGUAUUAUAUUCAAC